CUUUCCUUUAGGUGUUUUCCUUGUCAGCAUCUUCAUCCUCUCAUCCAAAUCUGCUCAAAAUCCGGAAUUCGAUUAGCAUUCAAUGCAAGAUGUUGGCCUUUUUUGGAAGGAAGCAAUUCAAGGCUGGUCCCAAAGGUCCAUUUAAAGCAAAUAUGUAGUCCUAUGCUCAAAUAUGCAGUGUGUAACAAGGCAUUUCUUGAUGGAGACAAUGUAUGCUCCAGCUUGAAAUAUUAAUGGAUGAAAAGGAAUGAUGAGCAACCUUAAUAUUAAAGGAUGAAAAGGAAUGAUGAGCAACCUUGCCGGAUUCUGAGGUGAAACGACGUUGUUUUAUUGGGUGAUGUUGAAAAAAUGGUUCCACCUAAGAAUCCGACAAGGUGACUCAUCAUUUUGUCGCGGGAUUAACCCAAUAGAGGGAUUAGAGGAAAGAUAAAUGCCCUUGUGAAGAAGUUAUACACAUGUCCAAAUGAGAGGCAAAACCAAAUCAGAAUCAAAUCACAUUCCAUCUGCAACAAGGCAGCAAUAAAAGCUACUUGGCCAAAAGGGUUCAAAUUUUGAAAAGAGGGUAACUUGGAACAUUGCAGCAGAUGAGGAAAAGAUGGUAAAGUUUGUAUCUUUGUGAAUAGAAACUUUGUGGUUCUAAUAAUCUAAUGUAUUUUUGUAUGGGUUGAAAGUGACAUGUCAAGAUUGUAUUUUUUUUCUUAUUCAAUGACAAAGAGGGUACAUAAGCAGAAAAAGCAAAUGCCUAGAAGCCAUCAUGGCCCCACCUUCAUGUAAUUGAAAAUUGAAAAUUCAAAAAUCUCAUCUUUUU